AGCGAACGCUGGCGGCAGGCCUAACACAUGCAAGUCGAACGAGCCUUUCGGGGUUAGUGGCGGACGGGUGAGUAACACGUGGGAACGUGCCUUUAGGUUUGGAAUAACUCAGGGAAACUUGUGCUAAUACCGAAUGUGCCCUUUGGGGGAAAGAUUUAUUGCCUUUAGAGCGGCCCGCGUCUGAUUAGCUAGUUGGUUGAGGUAAUGGCUCACCAAGGCGACGAUCAGUAGCUGGUCUGAGAGGAUGAUCAGCCACAUUGGGACUGAGACACGGCCCAAACUCCUACGGGAGGCAGCAGUGGGGAAUAUUGCGCAAUGGGCGAAAGCCUGACGCAGCCAUGCCGCGUGAAUGAUGAAGGUCUUAGGAUUGUAAAAUUCUUUUAACGGGGACGAUAAUGACGGUACCCGGAGAAGAAGCCCCGGCUAACUUCGUG
rnacentral:rRNA from 1 species